rnacentral:rRNA from 1 species
GAUGAACGCUGGCGGCGUGCCUAAUACAUGCAAGUCGAGCGAACGGACGAGAAGCUUGCUUCUCUGAUGUUAGCGGCGGACGGGUGAGUCACACGUGGAUAACCUACCUAUAUGACUGUGAUAACUUCGGGAAACCGGAGCUAAUCCCGGAUAAUAUUUUGAACCGCAUGGUUCAAAAGUGAAUGACGGUCUUGCUGUCACUACUAGAUGCAUCUCGGCUGCAUUAGCUAGUUGGGAAGGUCACGGCUUACCAAGGCAACGAUGCAUAACCGACGUGAGAGGGUGAUCGGCCACACGGGGGCUUGAACAGGCUCAAUGCGCCUACGGGAGGCAGCAGUAGGGAAUCGUCCGCAGUGGGGGAGAACCUGACGGAGCAACGCCGCGUGAGUGAUAGAGGUCCUCGGAUCGUAAAACUCUGUUAUUAGUGAAGAACAUAUGUGGCAGUAACUGUGCACAGCUUGACGGUACCUAAUCAGAAAGCCACGGCUAACUACGUG